rnacentral:rRNA from 1 species
AUUGAACGCUGGCGGCAUGCUUUACACAUGCAAGUCGAACGGUAACAGGCCUUCGGGUGCUGACGAGUGGCGAACGGGUGAGUAAUUCAUCGGAACGUGCCCAGCGGUGGGGGAUAACGCAGCUAAAGCUGUGCUAAUACCGCAUGUGAUCUGAGGUUGAAAUCGGUGGACCAGGCAGCAAUGUUUGGCCUCGCGCCUUUGGACCGGCCGAUGUCCGAUUAGUUAGUUGGGGGGGUAAAGGCCUACCCAGCCGACGAUCUGUAGCUGGUCUGAGAGGACGACCAGCCACACUGGGACUGAGACACGGACCAGAGUCCUAAGGGAGGCAGCAGUGGGGAAUGUUGGACAAUGGGCGCAAGCAUGAUCCAGCAAUGCCGCGUGCGGGAAGAAGGCCUUCGGGUUGUAAACAGCUUUUGUACGGAACGAAAAGGCUCUGGCUAAGACCUGGGGCUGAUGACGGUACCGGAAGAAUAAGCACCGGCUAACUACGUG